rnacentral:ncRNA from 1 species
UACACUCUCCCGGCCUUCGGUUCCGUUCGAUUGGGUUCCACCCUGGUCGACGGUGAAACGGGAAACAGUGGCGUGCUCCGUGCGUCAAACUGUGCUGCCCCCGCAACGGUAAGAGAGCGUCGCCGGCAUCUUGCGCCGACGUAGUCCUGGUCAAUUGCCACUGUGAUGCCGCCCGGCAUCGCGGGAAGGCGACCGGGAUGCUUUCAGCCCGGAGACCGGCCGAAAGGGGUUCGCCGACG